rnacentral:ribozyme from 21 species
AUCAGCCUUCGUUCUGUAAACGGGGUUGGAUCCGACUCUCAUAGGCUCUCCAACCCAACUCCUACUCAAUACGUCCUCGUCGUACAGAACGGUAACAUGUUUUCCGAACAUCCGCGCUUGGGUAUACGAGUAUACACCUUACCCAACCCUCGCCAACGGGGAGGAUGGAAAACAUGGCUAAAUUGAGAGGG